AUACCGUGAUGCGGAGAAAGUCUCAACAUGUCUUUAUAUCUCUCCCAUGCUUUGGAAAGUGAUUCUCUAUCUUUCUGUCUAAAUCCAUUGAGUUGGCUUCUUAGCAU